ensembl:miRNA MIR6086 microRNA 6086
AGGAGGUUGGGAAGGGCAGAGAUGAGCAUAAAGUUUUUGCCUUGUUUUUCUUUUU